rnacentral:rRNA from 1 species
AGUGAACGCUGGCGGUAGGCCUAACACAUGCAAGUCGAACGGCAGCACAGUAAGAGCUCGCUCUUACGGGUGGCGAGUGGCGGGCGGGUGAGGAAUACAUCGGCAUCUACUUUUUCGUGGGUGAUAACGUAGGGAAACAUACGCUAAUACAGCAUACGAUCUACGGGUGGAAGCAGGGGAUCUUCGGACCUUGCGCGAUUCAAUGAGCCGAUGUCGGAUUAGCUAGUUGGCGGGGUAAAGGCCCACCAAGGCGACGAUCCGUAGCUGGUCUGAGAGGAUGAUCAGCCACACUGGAACUGAGACACGGUCCAGACUCCUACGGGAGGCAGCAGUGGGGAAUAUUGGACAAUGGGCGCAAGCCUGAUCCAGCCAUACCGCGUGGGUGAAGAAGGCCUUCGGGUUGUAAAGCCCUUUUGUUGGGAAAGAAAAGCAGCAGGUUAAUACCCCGCUGUCCUGACGGUACCCAAAGAAUAAGCACCGGCUAACUACGUG